GGUAUUUUGACCGUGCAAAGGUAGCAUAAUCAUUAGUUUUUUAAUUGAAAGCUGGUAUGAAAGGUUGGAUGAGAGAAAAGCUGUCUCUAUUUAAUUUAUCUAGAAAUUUAUUUUUAAGUUAAAAAGCUUAAAUUUGAAUAAAAGACGAGAAGACCCUAUAGAGUUUUAUUAUUUUAUUUUAAUAAAAUUAAUAGAAUUUUUUACUUUUAUAGAAUAAAAUAAUUUAGUUGGGGUGAUUGAAAAAUUUAAUAAACUUUUUUUUUACUUUUACAUUGAUUUAUGAUUAGUUGAUCCUUAAUUUAAGAUUAAAAGAUAAAAUUACCUUAGGGAUAACAGCGUAAUUUUUUUUAAGAGUUCUAAUCGAAAAAAAAGCUUGCGACCUCGAUGUUGGAUUAAAAUAAAAUUUUGGUGUAGAAGCUAAAG
rnacentral:rRNA from 1 species